UCCCACGUAGUGUAGAGGUUUAGCAUUUGGGAUUUUCAUCAACUGCUGGCUUCCCAGGACGUGGGUUCGAACCCCGGCGUGGGAA